UUGAAAGGGAAACGAUUGAAGUCAGUCGUACCUGUGGGUAAUCAGCCUUUUGGGUGUGAUUUUGUGGAGUGUGAGGAGUUAAACGCCUUCAUGCCUGCAUAUUCGUGCACUUUGGGUGUAUUUGCCCGUGUGGUAAGUUAACAUCAAUUUUGGUGGUCAUAAAAUGGCUGGAGGAAUGUAGCUUCGAUCUCGUAUUGAAGUGUUAUAGCCUUCGGUAGAUGUGAUUAUCGGGAUUGAGGAUUGCAACGGAUACCCUUCGGGGCUACCUGUCUGAUCUCUGAUCGUUGCUCUGGUGCCGAAAGCUUGCUUACGGUUAUCAAAGUCGAUGGUCAAUAGGUUAGAAUGGGUUAAAUUCGUUAAGGAUGUUGACGUA
rnacentral:rRNA from 1 species